rnacentral:rRNA from 1 species
AGAGUUUGAUCAUGGCUCAGAGCGAACGCUGGCGGCAGGCCUAAUACAUGCAAGUCGAGCGGGUCCUUCGGGAUUAGCGGCGGACGGGUGAGUAACGCGUGGGAACGUGCCCUUUGGUACGGAACAACUGAGGGAAACUUCAGCUAAUACCGUAUGUGCCCUUCGGGGGAAAGAUUUAUCGCCAUUGGAGCGGCCCGCGUUGGAUUAGGUAGUUGGUGAGGUAAAGGCUCACCAAGCCUACGAUCCAUAGCUGGUCUGAGAGGAUGACCAGCCACACUGGGACUGAGACACGGCCCAGACUCCUACGGGAGGCAGCAGUAGGGAAUCUUGCGCAAUGGGCGAAAGCCUGACGCAGCCAUGCCGCGUGAAUGAUGAAGGUCUUAGGAUUGUAAAAUUCUUUCACCGGGGACGAUAAUGACGGUACCCGGAGAAGAAGCCCCGGCUAACUUCGUG